rnacentral:snoRNA from 1 species
UGGACCAAUGAUGAUAGUUACCAAGGUAUGAGAGAGAUGACGAAUAACACAUGUCUGAAGCAAGCUCAGAGGUCCGA